GAGACAGCGAAUGGAACACUUCCAUUUUAGUUCGGUUCGAUUGCGGUAGAAGCCACGAUGGCACCACGGAAUGCAAGCAGUAUUGGCGUACACUUCCUGAGGGCGGGGCGGCCUAGAAUAGAUAAAAGGUCUAGCAGAAGGACCAACCCUGUGCAGUUCCUCGUUAGUAUAGUGGGCUCGCAAUUAAGUUCUGACCAAGGCAACGUAAGCAGACUGUCGAGUAUGGCUUCUGCGAAGUAUCCUUCACGAUCGCAGUAAGCAAAGCCAAACCGCUAUUCUGUUCUGCAGAACGUAAGAUUUAAGGUCUACAAACCCAACUGCGCAUCACAGCGUCAACUUGGAACUGUGUGCUGAGAGAGAAACAAAGUAGGAGGAGCCACUAGCCAGAAAUGGCCCGCAUCACCGGGACACGGAACCCCUCUGUACACUACUUCGGGUGUCUUUCGAAAGAGAAAUAAAUUUGUGGAAGGCAGCGUUA